AAUGUAGUUAAACUAGGGAAUUGGGUUGAACGGAGAUUAAGGCUUUCGUUUAGAAUUGCGGAAAGAUUGCACUAUAUGCAGUGAGAAAAUACGAUGAAAAAAUAUAAUAUUUGUUUCAGCAUGUACUAUUGUAUUUCGCAUAUUGCGAUGAGUUGAUUAUGAUAUAUUUUCUACAAUUCUAUCGAAGAACGCAGACGCAUAUCCCUAUAUGCUUUUACUCCAACUCUAUUUUAUCUAACAGCGUCAAGAACCACCGCUUAGUUAAGUUAUUCUUAUAU
rnacentral:lncRNA from 1 species